UAAUGGUUUCACGAGUUGUUUAGGAGUGAAAAGAGUGUCAGACGAUGUUCAACACGUAGAGCGUUAGUAGAAGCUCGACAACUGCAUGAAUAACUAUUGGACGGAAUGAAACGGGGACCAACGGGCCACUUGCUCUAGAGUCAGAGAUUUGGCCUCUUGAAAAGCCAAUUGAAUUACCACACCUGGCGUGGGUAUGGUGGCUGGACUCAGACCCGGGCAGAUCCUCAGCCUCUCAUCCGGGGUCGCCUUCGUCAGGAUGCACACCACAAGGUGACUGAACCGCCUCUCUGCUAUCUUCUCCAUUGCUCGGAGAGAACACUGGGCCAUUGGAACACUUCUGACUCAAGCUAACUGUCGUGGGAGUGAGUCUGAUAGUAAGAAUAGGGGGUACGUAGGAGGAGGCAAGGUCCUAGCCACGGUGAGGUUGUACACACAAGUUUACGUGUUCAGGCCCCUCUUGGAGGAGCUAACAGCCCUACGUAUCGGUGCCUCGAGGCUUGUCGACUGGAUUAUGCGUGGAAGUUAUGGGGGUGCAAACCCUUGUGCCUGAGGAGGGGGCAGCUUAUAUAGAGUGCGCCAGGCUCCUCACAGCCUUCCAUUACACAUGGUUCAAUGUGAGUUAAGGCAGGGGCAUUACUGGUAACGCCAGCUAUUAAUGAUCUUUAUGACUACGGAGUGAACGCCUGACCAUCGCCAUCCUGGGGUGGCUUUUGAUCUUCUGUACUCCGAGUGAUUCUUCGUAUGGUCGAGUGACGCUACUGUGGUCGAGUGGAAUUGAGGUGUCCGAGUAGAAUCUUCUGUUGAGUGGAUAGCACUUCAAGGUGAUUUCAGUCGGUGCCUUCUGUUGUACUUUGAAUGUCUUUGACUCUAGGGCAGUGUCCUUGGGUAGGGUGUCUAGGUCAUGCCUAAGACCCUACCCUAGGUAUGUGUCAUCGUCAUUAUCCCCCGAAUGGACUGAGGUCCGAGUGAAGAAGGGUUGAAGUUGGUUCCGACUCGAUUCCAUGCUUCGGAGGCAUUUCAUAGAGAUCUGGAAAGCACACUGGUACUUUAACCCUGCCUCGGUCGCCUUGAUCGAUUCUGGUUUCUGAGAUCGCCGAGUGAAUUAUGCAGUAAAUCUUCUAGUGAAUCAGAGUGUGAAAUCUUCGACGCAAUUGAAUGCUCUGCGGUCUCCGGAUCUCAUAGGAUUCUAAAUUUUGGAGAAGCACACAGGACGGGGCGCGACGUAGUAAAUGGAACGAGCAGAUAGGGACUCCUCGAUCUUCGUGCCACCUUUUUGGCCACAUAUCAAGCCAGCGCCUGUGACGGGAUGCGAUAAGAUUGCUCGGGCCCACGGGUUAGCCACUCGGAAGUAGCCCCAUAAAAAGCGUCGAGGCUGAUGCGCGACACUGUGCAUUCCAUUCGACCCCCCUCUCCGCUUCUCCACCUCGCUUCUCCCUGCUCUCCACGCCUCCGCUCGACCCUCUCGAGCUCCGCCACCAUGGUGAAGGACAAGACCACGGCCCUGGAGCAUGCGAAGAAGGCGAUGACGAUGACGAAAGGCAAGAAGACGGUGAGGGGGUCAAUGUCGCGGUCUGGUCUGCCGCCUGGUUGGAUCUAGGGGGACUGGAUCCAUUCUACCAUUGUGAAGGAAGAUCUGUAGAACCUAGCCGCUGAUGGCCUGAUUGCCCAUUAGUCCUAGAGGUUGUCAGAGGGAGAAUCUGAGCCCCAUCCGCGAGAGGGUGAGUGCGUCCUUCUCACCACCCAUGUCGAGCAAGGUUUCUCUCUGCCCCCGCACCCAUUCUUUCAGGGCUUUUUGAAUUUCUUCGGCGCUUAGAUCCACCACUUUCCUCCCAACCCGAUCUCGUAUCUUGCCGCGUUCAUCUCAAUGUGCGAAAACUUCCUAGGGUGCCAGCCACACUAGGGUUUGUUCAAACACACAUUCACCUGUCGUUCUUAGCGGUGAAGAAAGCUAACCCGGAUGAUGAAAAGACGCAUGUGAUCUAGAUGUGUGGGGGUUAGGGAUCCAAAUGAGAGGUAGGAGUUCUUUUCCCCCCAUGACCUUUCCCGAGUCUGUCAGGGGAUGGCAGUCGACUUGGUUCUACUGCAAGGACAUUCCGACUCCUAGUUAGUCGACUGGCCUUCCCCCUUUCACUAUGGAGAGACUCCACACCCCUCAUUCACUAGUUGUAGUGCCGGAGGAGAAGGGGGAGUUGGGAAUGUUAGUCGACGCCGUCGUUGGAUUGGUUCAAGGUGGAGUGACGGGUAUGGAUCUGUUGGAGGUAUUCCUCAAUUGACGCAUCCAGCCCUUGCAGGCCCGUGACCACCCUUUGUGGAUGUACUCGGGUCUAGAGGACACCUCUCGAACCCACCCGGAGGAGGUUGACGAGGAGAUGGUGGCUCAGUGGCUCAGGAGCAUUACCGGCAACAAGAAUAACCCCAGGGGUCCAGGAGGAUUCUGCCAUUCGAUGUCAACAAUGCUCCUGAAGAGAUUUUCACCAAGAUGUACUCGAUGCCGAAUGGAGAGCAGUACCAAGAAGGAGUUGAGAGUGAUGGCGAGAGCGGUGAUUAUCAGUAUGUAGAUCACAGUGAAGAUGACAGUGAAGAUGACAGUAAGGACUCGGGCAGCAGCGAAGAAGUCGAUUCACCGCCCCACUCGGAGCGUUGCUCCAAAUAGUCGCAAGACCCUGCAGGGGGACGUAGCAAAGCUGCUGCGUCGAGUGCAAAGAUUCCAAAACGCACUCGGACGUCGACUCCCGAGCCAUCAGAGAAGGCCGCGAAGCAGGCUAAAGUUGCGCUGCCCAAACCUCAGAUGGCCCUGCCUAGGAUCAAGGUGGCUGUGCCCGUGGCUUUAGUUGCUGCUACUUCUGUGACAUCCAUGGACAUCGAUGAGGAGCGUGGUGAUGCGGAAACCGCGGAUGCGGCCACCUCUCGGGCAGCACCAACAGAUAUUAUCCAGCUUCCUAACGAUGAUGAUGAUGAUGUGUCUUUGAAAAAUGCCGGGAGGAGAGGCAAAACUUUGAGCAAGAGGGUGCCUGGAGCCAGAACGCCUCGCUCGGCAUCUGAUCCUGUGGUCCAACAACUCAACGAUCUAGUACGGGCUUUAGUCUCUUUUGCCAAUCCUGUGUCGACUGACCAACCCUCAGUGUCGACUGCUCAAGCUCCAGAUUCGAUUGCGCAACUUUAGGCUUCUACUACACCGGCCACGUCACCUAUUCCAUCAUCUCUUCUAUUUUCUCCACAUCACGUCCCGGAGGACCAAGUAGGGGCUGCCAAGCAGGCCAUGAUUCAGGCAAGUCUGAUGAUGGACCGACUGAAGGUGGUGUGUGACACCAGCAAGGCCGCCUAUGAUGCCAACUCUGCUCUCCAAGCCAAUGUCCGAAAAUCUUAUGAGCUUGGGACUCAAUAUGCUGCUUUGUCACAGGAGAAAAUCCAACUUAAGCUCGACCUAGAUCUGGCCAAGGAGAACUUGAAGAAAGCACAAGAUGGAGUGGCAAGAGACAAAAUGAAGCAGGCUAUGGAGCAGAAGGACCUUGAUCUUGUGGCGGCGCAGAAGACGACGCGUGAUUAGAUUGAACUUGCCGACCAGAAGCUGGCUUCGGUCGGAAACUUGGAAGAGGAGAACGCCAAGCUGAAAACCGCUGUUAACAAGGCGAAGAAAGAGGCCAUGCAACUGAAGGAGGAGAAGGUGGCUUUGACAGACAAAGUGGAUAUUCUCACUGAGAAGAUGGACGAGCUCGAAACUUAUCUGGGUGGUCUCGCCAAGAAGAUGUUCCUCAUGCUUGAUGAGUUUUGUCAGAAUUUCGAGGAGGAAAUUGGGUGGAUCAAGACAGGACUGGAUCCCAUCAAUUGCCCCAUCAAGGAUGAAGCUGCCAUGAACAUGUCGCGACUGGAAUCUCGUCUUGCCAGUGUCUUGGACUACGUCGUCCGACUGAGAGUUGCAAUGUCUCGGAUCGAUGAGGAGCUCUGACCAGAGGAUGUGCUUCUGAAUGACCUCGAGUCACUGAUGACUCGACUCAACAACAUCCUUGACCGAGUGCAACCGUGGAAGAAGUCAGGUGCACGCUGCGGUGGUGAUGUGGCUCUAUCACUCAUCCGUGUUCAUUGCAAGGAUUCUAAGGAAGAGAAGCUGAAGGCUCUUCAGGUGGCUAACACCAAGAAGCUUCAAUUUCAAUCUUUCAUGGAGACCUUCAUUGACGCGACCACUCGCACCAUGGACAGUAUCGACGUGGCACUUUCGUCAAGCCAACAAUUCCUCCUCCUACCGAGUGAAAAACUUGAUAACUUGACUUUAUUCGCCUCGGAAUGCCAAGUGAUUUUGUAAUCGUUAAACUCUUUCGGGCUUGAUGCCCGGGGACUUCUGCUGGAUUUAUCCAAACUUUGUUGUUUUAUUUGAAUGCAGUUGCUUUA